rnacentral:rRNA from 1 species
GAUGAACGCUGGCGGCGUGCCUAAUACAUGCAAGUCGAGCGAACAGACGAGGAGCUUGCUCCUUUGACGUUAGCGGCGGACGGGUGAGUAACACGUGGGUAACCUACCUAUAAGACUGGGAUAACUUCGGGAAACCGGAGCUAAUACCGGAUAAUAUUUCGAACCGCAUGGUUCGAUAGUGAAAGAUGGCUUUGCUAUCACUUAUAGAUGGACCUGCGCCGUAUUAGCUAGUUGGUAAGGUAACGGCUUACCAAGGCAACGAUACGUAGCCGACCUGAGAGGGGGGAACGGCAAAACGGAACUGGGACAAGGGCCAAAACCCCAAGGGAAGGAAGAAGAGGGAAAUCUCCCGAAAGGGGGGAAAGCCGAAGGAAGAAAGGCGGCGGGGGGAAGGAAGGCUUCGGGACGGAAAAACCCUGUAAUAGGGAAGAAUAAACGUGUAAGUAACUGUGCACGUCUUGACGGUACCUAAUCAGAAAACCACGGCUAACUACGU